GGAAUGAGCGAAUAAAAGGCACAAAACGAAAUGUUGAGGUAUGUAAUCAAAGUAUUGGGACACGCAUUACCUUAUGAUUUUGUAUCUGAUUAUACUACACAUAUACGUAUAAGUUUUUUAUGAAGGAAAGGGAAAGAGGGCAGUGGGUUUGAAAAGUGAGAGACGUGCAUAACCUUUUACCAUCAUAUACAAAAUAUUAAUGGUUCUUUGGCCUUUAUCCAUCAUAACUCCAAUAGACGCCACUUUUAUUCCGUCUUCCCAUUUUGAAAAUAGAGAGACGUGCGUAUCCACCGUUCCACCACCGUACCGACGGCACCGUCAGCCACCACUGCAGCUGCUUCAGGUCCAGAGUGUGCCGCACGUAUAGUGAUGUGUAAUUAUCCCUUCUUAUAAGCCAUUUGUUCAUCGAAAUUCGAUUACAUGUGUGUUUCUUUUCUGGUUUGUUGGUGCUCUUCUUCAUUAGUGGCAGCUCAAUUGAUGUUCUUCUUAACUUGGAUGACGCUUGGUUUGCUGUUUUGGUGACAUAGCGACAAUUGUGAUGGUGGUUCGUGGUGGUCAAUAGCCGCACCUUUGGGUGGCGGUACAUGGGAGAUUGGCGGUGACGACUGCUAGAACUAAGGUUCCGGCUAACCAACUUCUUCAGCGAGGUUCCAAGUAGCCGAUUUUGGCCCAAUGAGCGAAUCCCUGUCGUUGGUAGGGUUGGUCGUCAGUGUCGGUGGUGUUCGUCACCGACAUUGUCUUCGUGCAAGAAGUGAAAGUUAUUGAAACUUUGUCUCCAUUCGAGAUUUGCUUCUAUUUCACAAAUUUCGUCUAUUAUUUUUAGAUUUGUGUUGUUAUUCGUAAACCAAAACCCACUGUGCACGUAGCUAAAUAUGUAAAAUAGUGGCUGUCUGAUUUCAAUGUAAAUUUUGAAAGUAAUGUUGAGUACUCAUAUGUUAAACCAUGGUGACUUUAUUGUUUGGAUGCUAUUGCGAGUGGUUCUUCAUAUCUAUUUAUUAAAGUUAUUCUAUUUUUCCUCUCA